rnacentral:rRNA from 1 species
GACGAACGCUGGCGGCGUGCCUAAUACAUGCAAGUCGAGCGAAGCGGCGGAUGGGUGAGUAACGCGUGGGUAACCUUCCCUUAAGUCUGGGAUACCCUUUGGAAACAGAUGCUAAUACCGGAUACUAAAGGAUGGCCCUGCGAUGCAUUAGCUAGUUGGUAAGGUAACGGCUUACCAAGGCGAUGAUGCAUAGCCGAGUUGAGAGAGUGAUCGGCCACAUUGGGACUGAGACACGGCCCAAACUCAUACGGGAGGAAGCAGUAGGAAAUCUUCAACAAUGGACGAAAGUCUGAUGGAGCAACGCCGCGGUAAUUC